AACCCACCCAGCUCUCGGGUUUUCCCAGACCCGCUGCCGGACUUCAUGCCGGCGGUGCGAAGACAACAGCCCAGCCGGGGACAGACGCGUCUGUACUUCGGGGCUCAGAGGAAGAGGAGGGGUGUGAAGCAGGGCGGGCUCCCCGGGGGCCUCCCGAAAUCUCUGAAUUACGUGAAAUACCCGUAAACAGAGCAGCGAGUGACACGUUAAACCGACACAAGCUACUGUACAGAACGGCAGACACGCAGCAACCAUUCCCGACCGUUUAUUUAACCGUCACACGCACAGACAAGCGGCUUAUCCCCCUGGGACUCUGACAUCCCAGGGCGUCUGCCACCUUCCCAUCGGGUCCCUCGUGUGCACACGGCCGCGUCUAGCUGGUACUUCUUCCAUCUGCCUCUGGGGCGGUUUUGCGCUUCGAGCGGCCUUUCUGGCUCGUGGUUCUGGCACUGUCCCCCCCCCCCGACCCCCCCAGCGCCGGUGGUCCUGCCCAAACCUGUUCAGAUUCCCACCGCGCUCCGCCACGUGCCGAAGGGAACAGUCCCUGGUUAGAAGCAGCAGAGACACGGAACGUGACACCCGGCGCUGGGAAGCUGUGAGAAAGAGGAAACAAAGGCGGCCUCUCUGGGCGUCAGCUUCUUCGUCCGCACAAUGAAGGGGUGCACUCAGACCCUCUGAUCUUUAUCUUUCUGUGGCAGAUGAAGGUGCUGAACUCAUCACAGUCCGCUUCUGUCCUCUGCACGUCUACGGGGGCAGAUCUGGCGACCAUUGCCACCGCCCACUCCCGCCUCUGAGUGUGGCUGUGUCAGUCUCUCCCUCUCACGAAAUCCUGGAGCCUUCGCUUCUUUUGUGCGAUUGGUUUCUUUUCUUAGUUUCUUUAGCUGAAUGUCUUUCCUCCUACCAACCUGUGUGCGGACUUGCCUUCAGGUUCCCCCUAGGUCCCCUGUGGGCUCUUCCUCGGGGACCCUGUCCGAAUCAGCCUCUGGCUCCGCGUGGGAGAUCCUGAGAAUAAAUGUAAGGUCCUGACUGCUCGUCUGGGGACGCUUCCUUUCAUUUUUCUGGCGUCACCUCAAACUCAGGAAUAAAAGCAAACUUGCUAUCCUCAAA